AGAGUUUGAUCAUGGCUCAGAGUGAACGCUGGCGGCAGGCCUAAUACAUGCAAGUCGAACGGCAGCACAGCAGAGCUUGCUCUGUGGGUGGCGAGUGGCGGACGGUGAGGAAUACGUGGGGAUCUGCCCAGUCGUGGGGAUAACGUAGGGAAACUUACGCUAAUACCGCAUGCGCCCUUCGGGGGAAAGCCGGGGACCUUCGGGCCUGGCGCGAUUGGAUGAGCCCACGUCGGACUAGCUAGUUGGCGGGUAAAGGCCCACCAAGGCGACGAUCCGUAGCUGGUCUGAGAGGAUGAUCAGCCACACUGGAACUGAGACACGGUCCAGACUCCUACGGGAGGCAGCAGUAGGGAAUAUUGGACAAUGGGCGCAAGCCUGAUCCAGCCAUGCCGCGUGAGGGAAGAAGGCCCUCGGGUUGUAAAGCUCUUUUGUCCGGAAAGAAAAGCGCCGGGUUAAUACCCUGGUGUCCUGACGGUACCGGAAGAAUAAGCACCGGCUAACUUCGUG
rnacentral:rRNA from 1 species